rnacentral:antisense_RNA from 1 species
GUGUACGGCCAGCGCCCGUCGGCGACGUCGAGCGCCUCGUCGCCGAGGUGGUCGCCGUCGGCGUGCACGGCGAGCACGGUGUCGUCGCCGUACUUGCCGGUGCCGAUCCGCUCGACCUUGCCGUGCGCGAUCAGGAAGACCUCGGUGAUCGGGGCGCCCUCCUGGACCAGCACCUCGCCCGCGCCGAAGCCGCGCUGGACGAAGCGCCCGGCGAGCUCGUUCAGCACCGCGAAGUCCUGGUAGCCGCGCAGCACCGGGACUUCGCUCAGGGUGGGCCCGCCACCUUGACCUCCCGGCCGGUCUGCACGAAGGACACCCGGCCGCGGCCGACCGCGUGGCUGAGCCGCCGGUUGACCCGGUAGGUGCCGGCCGAGACCUGGACCCAGGGCAGCUUGCGCAGCAGCCAGCGCGAGCUGAUCUCCUGCAUCUGCGGCUUGGACUUGGUCGUGGUGGCGAGGUUGCGCGCCGCCGCAGUGCUCAGGCUCUGCUGCGCCGG